CCUCCAUUGGCCGCCAGUCAGGCACCAAGGCGGACAGCCCUAGGGGGCAGGACGGGGUGGUCAUGAGGUGGGCGGGGUUCUACUCCUGCUUGCUGUUGCUGCUCGCGUCUGAUUGAGUCUUUGGUAACAUCAGACUUUUCAUCUACAACUUGGGAUGGUGUUACCUCAUAUGCGGACCCUAGAGGAUGUCGUAUAUUGCAGAAAACCCUCUACCCUGCCGGCCCUUAGAGAAGAAACUGAAAAUGCACUUGCAGCCGUCUCAGUGACCAAGGUUACCCAAGCGGCAGUUCGCUGUACUAAGAAAUGUCUGGAAGCUAACAGACACCACUUUGAGCACCUCUAGUAAUUGCAGAGGCCAAAGGUAACUUGUAUUAAUCUCAUGAUGUCUCAGUAAAUUUAGUAUUAAAGUACUUACACAAGUUUUUC